rnacentral:lncRNA from 1 species
UUUUAGUGAUAUGGUCCUUCUUAGCCAGGUGCCUAAGAGACUGUGCCAGCUCGCCAUCGAUCUGAUGUGUGAGGGGCACCUCACCGCCAGCAGCAUCUACACCGCCGCUGGGCUCGCUGGCCGUGAUGGAGCCAAGCCGGUCUGCAGCGCCAGACCCCGAGCCGGCGGCGUUUGGGCUGGCGCGGGUGCUGCCGAUGUAACUGCACGGGGUCCAGGGAGAUCGCGAACAUAGAACUGUCCAUUUUCACGAUACAAUUGUGCGCCAUCUCGCUCAUAUGCACGAUUCAUUAGGGAAUCUCGCUCAUAUGCACGAUUCUUCAAGGAACUUACAAACUAGGGGCGACGGGCCAAGACUGGCAGUUUUUAACGACGACAACGAUUUACACUACUUAAAUUUCUACCCAGAACUCCGUACCCGCCGAAGCCGAAGCCUGCAGCUCCUGUUUUGCUUGCCAAUAAUUCCGCUGCGCGUGCGCUGCUAGACGGUUUACCGGAUACUUG